CCUACAGGGGGCUGCAGUGGGGAAUAUUGGACAAUGGGGGCAACCCUGAUCCAGCCAUGCCGCGUGUGUGAAGAAGGCCCUCGGGUUGUAAAGCACUUUCAGUGAGGAAGAACGCCUGGUGGUUAAUACCCAUCAGGAAAGACAUCACUCACAGAAGAAGCACCGGCUAACUCCGUGCCAGCAGCCGCGGUAAUACGGAGGGUGCGAGCGUUAAUCGGAAUUACUGGGCGUAAAGCGCGCGUAGGUGGCUUGAUAAGCCGGUUGUGAAAGCCCCGGGCUCAACCUGGGAACGGCAUCCGGAACUGUCAAGCUAGAGUGCAGGAGAGGAAGGUAGAAUUCCCGGUGUAGCGGUGAAAUGCGUAGAGAUCGGGAGGAAUACCAGUGGCGAAGGCGGCCUUCUGGACUGACACUGACACUGAGGUGCGAAAGCGUGGGUAGCAAACAGGAUUAGAUACCCGGGUAGUC
rnacentral:rRNA from 1 species